rnacentral:rRNA from 1 species
AAACCAACAGGGAUUGCCUUAGUAGCGGCGAGUGAAGCGGCAAGAGCUCAAAUUUGAAAUCUGGUAUCUUCGAUGCCCGAGUUGUAAUUUGAAGAAAACAAUCUUGGAAUUGGUCCUUGUCUAUGUUCCUUGGAACAGGACGUCACAGAGGGUGAGAAUCCCGUGCGACAAGGAAUUCUUUUCUUUAUAAGAUGUUUUCGAAGAGUCGAGUUGUUUGGGAAUGCAGCUCAAAGUGGGUGGUAAAUUCCAUCUAAAGCUAAAUAUUGGCGAGAGACCGAUAGCGAACAAGUACUGUGAAGGAAAGAUGAAAAGAACUUUGAAAAGAGAGUGAAAAAGUACGUGAAAUUGUUGAAAGGGAAGGGUAUUCGAUCAGACUGGUAUUUAGUUAUCGUCUCUCCUUGUGGGGGGCGCUCUAGCUUUUUACUGGGCCAACAUCAGUUUUGGUGGUAAGAUAAUCGCAGUUGAAUGUGGCUCCUUCUGGAGUGUUAUAGCUUCUGUUGAUGUUACCUAUCGGGACUGAGGUCUGCGGCUUUGCCUAGGAUGUUGGCGUAAUGAUCCAAUACCGC